AUACGUAGGGUGCGAGCGUUGUUCGGAUUUAUUGGGCGUAAAGGGUCCGCAGGUUGUUGAUUAAGUCUGAUGUGAAAUCCUAUGGCUCAACCAUAGAACUGCAUUGGAAACUGAUCGACUAGAGUAUCGGAGAGGUGAGUGGAAUUCCUGGUGUAGCGGUGGAAUGCGUAGAUAUCAGGAAGAACACCAAUAGCGAAGGCAGCUCACUGGACGAUCACUGACACUCAGGGACGAAAGCGUGGGGAGCAAACAGGAUUAGAAACCCCAGUAGUCC
rnacentral:rRNA from 1 species